rnacentral:rRNA from 1 species
UACGUAGGGGGCGAGCGUUGUCCGGAUUUAUUGGGCGUAAAGAGCUCGUAGGCGGCUCGGUAAGUCAGGUGUGAAAACUCUAGGCUCAACCUAGAGACGCCACCUGAUACUGCUGUGGCUAGAGUCCGGUAGGGGGAGCAUGGAAUUCCUGGUGUAGCGGUGAAAUGCGUAGAGAUCAUGAGGAAGACCAGUGGCGAAGGCGGGUCUCUGGACAGUUCCUGACAC